CUUUGCUGGGCAGACGGAGCAGACCUCUGCUCCUGACAGGUGAGAUGAACUGCGUGUUUGGUCCAUCUCUACCACCUCAUUCCUGACUGCCCAGUGUAGGCCCUCACCUCAGAGAAAAAAGUCCUUCCAUGAUCCAAACUAAAACUGAAAGCCUCUGAAACUCCUUAGGAUAAUAUUUCAACAUUUGGACUAUGCAUCAAGAGUAAAAAUACAGAGUCAGCUUGUGAUGGCAUUCCCUCAAAACAUGGAAGGAAUUGCAGUAAUGAAAGUCAUCAUGUAUUCUAAGAGACUGUUCUGCGAGAGCACAACACAGACGGGGCUAAAGCAGGGGUGAGUACCGAAGGGAAAAUCUGCCUGUGGGGAAUUGGGGAUAGAGGGCCUGACUCUCUGUUUUGCAGGAACGUUGCUCCUGCCUGUCCCUUAAGCUGCAGGGGUCCAGGGAUAGGACUUAGCAUGAGAAUAAAAAGCUGCCUGCUCACAAGAGAAAAUGAGCAAGAAAGGAAACAGCAGGCAAUACAAUCUCUUUUAAUUAGGUGUGAAAUCCAGUUCUUUCUCAAUCAGGAGAGCAAAAGGAUAUAUAAAAUGAGACUAGUGCAAGGGUAAGAUGCUACAGAGGGGGAUGGGGAUUUGAAGUCUCUGGACUUGGAAGGAAACAUCAGCUCUCAAAUGAAAACCAAUAUAAAUUUCGGUCCAGUUAAUAAGCCUAAGUCAAGUGGCAGGGCCAGAAAGCCCUUGAGCUUUCAAUUUGGGGCACCAGAUGAGGUUAGUGGGUCUUGCACAUGAAACAGGGUGCAGCUUGCCAAGUUAGUCACACUAGGAAAGAGCCAGUCAUCUCUGGAGAAAGGGGGGAUGUAUUUUGGUGACUGAGCCCCCUUAUUCUCCAAACCCCCUGCCUGGGGUAAGACUUCAGUUACAUGUACUUUACCUCCUCAUAUAUGCCAAGGGAGUCCUGCUGAAUCCCUGCACUAUAGGAGGUAUAGUAGUUUCUUGCUAACAGGUUCCAUCCACAGCAAAUGACUCUGCACCACCCCACUCUCUCUUUCUAUCUCAUUAGUAUCAUCACAGUCUUGGGAGGUGGCUGGGAGCACUGGAGAAAUCACACAUGCAAGUGGAAGGCAGCAAGCAGACAAGAUCUCUUUCUCCUAUCUUGGCUCUAUAUACCUAGCAUAUCCCAGCUGCUAUUACCUCUGUAGUGAGACUAGGGAGGGUCAUCAGCCUAUGGGAGGGCGAGCUGUACAGUUUUACUUACCCAUUCUUGGGUGAAAAGGGGGGUGUUUUGGGCCAUCUCCCAAUAAAGGUUCUCCUCUAUCUUCCAGAUUGUCUAAGCCCAGUGUGGAGGAACCAUCAAGGAUUUCAGCACGUUUUUUUAGCCAUUGGUAACAGAAUUCUUCACAUAAAACAUAUAUCAAUUGUUGAAAUUUGCAGAAAUUUGACUUCGAACUUGCAGAAAUUUGACUUUCAAACAUGUUUGCAGGAAUGGCUACCUAUGAAAGUUGGGGACUAGCUGGAUGUGCUUUUUUAGUCACUACUUAUUAUUUUAUCUAGACAAAGAUUAAAAAUUACUAACUUGUUUACAGUAUUUACAACACCAUUCUAUUUAUGAUCCCAAUACUGUAAUUGGGUAUGCCUUUAAUAUUACCUGAAUUUUUAUUCAUUCAUAGAACAUUUCUAGAGAAUACUUAAAAGUAUUUAAAGGUCCUUGGUUUUAUGUUUGGGUUUUGGGGGGUAUGUAUAGUUUUUAUAAAUGGACAUGUUUAUACUUUUAUAGGAAUAAGGUCAGUGGCUUUCAUCAAAAUCUCAAAGGGGUCUGUGUUUUCCCCAAAUUAAGAGCUGUGGAUUGAGAUUCAGGCAUCCCUCUUUAAAAUACUUGUAACUACUUUCCAUAAUCAAAGCUUCUAAAACUGAUGCAAACUUUGUGAUUGCAUUACUCUGAUGCAUAAGGUCUGUUGAACUGAUAUUUUCCAUUUACUUAAGUUGAGCUGAUACUAUUUUGUAUGAGAAAGCAAACAAUCUUGGCCAAAAUGAGAAAAGUUACUUUUCAGAAGAGAAAUAUUUUUUAAAAAGAUUGAAAGGGAAGAGAGAAAUGUAGGUAACUACUAAUAUUAGCAGAAAUCUGGAUUAUGACAGACAUAUAGUUUACAACUGUUGAAGCUAACUAUUAUUUAGCAAACUUUGUUUUACUCAGAGUAAGUCCCUUUUGACAGUUAAGACAAAUCCACAGAAGAAUUAGAAAACACCCUUUAACAUCUUUUGACUGUUAAAAAUUAGAUAUUGUGGUAUAAUUUGAAUAAAAAAUAAAUAUAAACUCAAUAUACACAUCUAAUCAGCCAAAAAAAUAGUUUACUUGCAAGAUCUAUAGCACUUGUAAUGGGGAGACUGCCUUUCUUUCUAUUUUCCUCCUUCCCUUUCUUCCUUUUUGCUGUCAUACCACGAAGUUUUACUAAGUUUGAAGUAUGGGGAACAAAGAGGCAAAAUUGAGAACUAGAAAAACAUUUGCUCUGUGAUUUUCAGGCCCAUCCCCAAAUCUUGACUUAUCUUCCAUUCCUGACUUCUUUUUCCUCUCUUCACUCCACCAAAAAAUAAGAGCUUUAUACUUUAUCUAAGGCUGAGAAUAGAUUUACAGUACUAGUGGGAUUUUACAGGUCCAAAGGAGAAAGUAAUUCCAGAAAAGUCUUUUUACUUGGCCUUAGAGGUCUCACAGUCUCCCUUGGUUAGCCCAGGCCUUUGGCUUGCCUGAUUUUAUGUUAAGUCUGCUGUUCUCUCUAAGAAAGGAUGAGGGCAUGCCUAUCCAUAUUGUAAAACUGUAAAUACAACUGACUUAUGAAUGAAGCUGCUUUGGGGGUCACUUGAAUUUUCACCAAUUCAUUAGUGAAACAUUUACUGAGAAUACCCCAGUAUAAAUGGAACCAUAAGGAUACAAAGGAUCUUAAAUCUAAAUCAAUAGAAGAAAUUUAUCCAUAAGGAUCUUUGAUAUUGGAAACAUAUAUUAAUCAAUCAACUUCUCCCAGACCUCAGUGCUCAGGAAAAGCUGUGUUUUGCUUUUCUUUGUGGAGCCUGUGAAUAUCAUAACUGAUCAUGUUUCCCUCUUGGCUCUGUUCACUAGGGAGCUCAGAAUAAAAAUUUAGGCCCCCUUUUAGCAACUAUGUAGGACCUCAUGGUAUGCUUUUCUAUGUAAAAUUUUCACCAGCCUCAUUAUAUUAUCCAUUCUUUAUUUUACCUCUACUCUGAUUUCUUUUUUUUUGUAGUUAUAUAGAAAUACAUUUCCUACAUAUUUAUUAACAAUUGAAUAUUAAUUUAAGCUACCUCAAAUCCCUUACUUAUGAGGUGAGGGCAUAAUCAAUCAAUCAACAAGUAAUUGAGCAUCCACUUUAUGAAACCAAUUCCAACCAUAAGUUAAAACUUCAGUCUUGAGUAUUAUCACACUAUAUGCUUUAUGAAUUUUUUAUACUUUGAGCAUCUGAUUCCAAUGAGGUAAACUGUUGAAAUUUACUUUACAGUACAGUUUGUGAAAAUUAAGUUUUACUCUGUGAAUAAAGAAUUGGAUAGAUAAUUCCAGACAACAUUCUGAAAGACACUUACGCCGUCAUUCCAAAGUUGAAAUGAAAUGAGGGGGAGAAGACUUGCUGGGACUAAGGAAAAAAGUCAAUGAAAUCUGAGGUUGAUGCCUUUAAAUCCUCUUAUAUUGUAAACCUUUUGAGACACCUUUUAGGAGUUUCAUUUUUUCUCUCUCUAAAGCGCUUUCCUUACAAAUUUAGCUACUGCCCUAUUGUAACCUUUUCCUUUGUUCACUAAAUCUGGGGAACAAAAAUACAGAGAUGCUACAUCCGUGGGUGGUAUACAAAAAUGAACCAAAGGAUCUACUUAAAUUCACAAAUUUGUGCUGUUUGAACUUGGCUUUGAAUAGACCUUAAAGAAGGAUCUGUAUAUUCAAUUGUACAGUUAAUAAGUUAGGUCUUUUGUUUUGCUUAAGAAGCAAUCACAAAUUUAAAAAUUGAGUAUAUGAAAACCAGCAUCUUCUUACUUGAUAAUCUGUUCUUGUGGUCUCUACAUAAUCAUAUACUUAUUUUAUAGAAAAAACAGAUUUAUAAAUUCAGUGAGUUCAAAGAUUCAGUAUAACUCUCAGGUAUGGCAUUUCUUUAAAGAAUAUCAUCACACACUGAUGAAUUAUAGUUAGGUAAGAAACUGAUUUUUUGACUUUGGGAAAACUUUUCUCUGGACUUAAACGAGUGAGAAAACAGAACUCAAUAGUGUCAUUAAAAAAAAAAAAAGCUUUCUGGCAAAAAAUAUCAUUGAGUUCCCAAUUCAUAGAACUUCCUUUAGUCCUCUGUUGCUGUGCUGUUCUGAAACUGCUUUUGAAGCAGGUCUUCAAAUUCAUGCUCAAAUGUUCUCUUCCCUUGGGUCUUUCUAACAAAUAAAAAAAAGUUGCUUCCAAUGAGACCGCUGUUUUUCAAGAGUAUCUCUGUUUGUUGGUAGGAGGGGAAUGCAAGAUUUUCUUUUUUUUUUUUUUUUUGAGACGGAGUCUUGUUCUGUCCCCUAGGCUGGAGUGCAGUGGCGCGAUCUCCAGCUCACUGCAACCUCUGCCUCCUGGGUUCAAGUGAUUCUCCUGCCUCAGCCUCCUGAGUAGCUGGGAUUACAAGCGUGCUACCAAACUCGGCUAAUUUUUUUUUUUUUUUGGUAUUUUUAGUAGAGACGGUUUUCACUAAGUUGGUCAGGCUGGUCUCGAACUCCUUACCUUGUGAUCUGCCCACCUUGGCCUCCCAAAGUGCUGGGAUUACAGGCGUGAGCCACUGUGCCCGGCCAAUUUCUCUAUGGACUUGAGCCAUGAUAGAUAAGUUCACUGAGGAGUAAAGACCUUCUAUCCCAAAGCAACAGGGAAAAGCCAAGGAAAAAAGUAAAUCUGUUUUGUUGGAUGACUGGUUAAAAUGGAAGCACUGAGAUGAUUUGUGUGGGCUAGGUUAAGAGAGUAGCUGAAAUUCAUCUGCGCACCUAGGGUAUAGAACCAGGCACGGGAAAUCAUUAAAAAAAAGAAUAGGACCUAAGUUCCUUUUUGGCUCAUACUGAGAUGAAGAAUAAGUGCUGUCAGAUAGAACUCAAAACCUUGGGAGGUUCUGGUAAAUAAGUAAAGUAGAAGGCAUACUUUAUAAUUAUUUUAAUCACAAGUAGGCAUUUUAUCUUUAUGAUAUUCUUUAUAUAGUCUUUUGUAUAAUAUUUAUUAUAUUAUUUACAUAUUGUCAAAAAAGACAUUGAGCUAUAGAAGUCUCCUAUAGCUAUAGCUAACAUUCAAAUUAUCUGAUUUCACUUCACUGAUUUGGUUGGAUUUGAUUUUCUCUAAAAUAAAAUCUCUGUGCUAAUCCAAAAGGUUGGCCAUUUUGCUUUCCUGUGUGUGGAUUACAUUCAUUUUUACUUCUCUUCUGCUGAAUUUUCCGCAGUUCUGAAGUUAUUGUGGUUUCUCUCCUCACCAAUUCUUAUCAUCCCCAUGAACCUUAUUCAAACUUUUUCCUUUUCUGUGAAGCCUUCUGUGAUUACUAGAGUUCACUUUUCUUGGUUUCCACUGGUUGGUGAGGUAAUAAACUAAGACAUUCAUUUUUGGCUUGUUCUCACUGAAUUAGAAAACUUUCUUAAUGAGAAGGUAUCUCCCCUUUCCUCCACCUGUAGGAAUGAAUGGCCAGGUUUUUGUAUACUUUAUAGGCUCCUUUGCCUCAGGGAGUUGUGGUUUCAGAGCCCAUUAAGCCCUAAAGAAUAAACCAUAAAACAAAGAGUUUUCUUUCCUAAUGUCUGUUCUCUAAAAUGAAUUAUUAACCCAGAAUGGGUAAGGAGAGUGAGGCUGAUUGAUGCUUUGGAGUUAGAGAAUUGGAUAGCAUUACUGGAGAGAAAAACAAUCCACUUUCCCUCAAAUGCAGAAGGUAGCAAGGUCUCUACUUGCAUACAGCUCCAGUUGGGGUAAUUGCUUGGCACACUUCUGGAGGCUGGACAUAAAAAGGCACCACUUUGAGAGGAACAGUGAUCAUCUGGGGGCUGGGCCAAUGGUCAACAGCAAGGACCACUGUGGAGGGCAUCUGUAAACCCAGCUAGUGCAGUAGUGCUGGCAGUCAGAAGGACGAGGCUCAAUGGCAUCUUUGUGGGGUGGUCAAGCAAUGUCAAUGUUGGAGACCAUCAUGGACUAAGGACUUAGAUUUAAUGAGUCUUGUACCAAUCUAGGGAUGAGAAGGGAGCCCCAAAACUUGUCUGUAUUUCUUGCGAAUUUGGUGACAGGGGCCUCAGGUUUAAUUUUCUUUAGAAAAAUACGGGAAUUUUUUUGUACCUGAAUGUUGAGGAGUGUUGGGGAAGUUCACCUGAACUUCCUAUACAUGUAGCACCUAAGUUAGUUCUUACCAAUAUAUUAUUGUUUCUUUUUUCAUUUGUGUCUGUCUUAUCUCUCUAAGACUCAAAGCCUCCCAAAGGCUAGUAUCUUGUCUUGUUAUAACCACAACUACAAUGACAACUACAAAUAUGUAACUGGAUCCCUCAUUGUGCCCAGCAUGUUUCUUUAUAAUGUGUGGGUUCUAUGUGAGUGCUUGUUUGGUCAGCUCUUCGCUACACUUCACAAACAAGUGGGAACCUCAGGGCGCACAUUUACUCUGAGAUAUGUCUAUGUGAUAUGGUCCUGACAGGGCUUUUUUGCCCCUGAAGUUCUGUGUAAUGCUCUUCUUCUUGUCCUUUAUUUCCCUACCUACCCACAGUUCUAUUUUCAAUAGAAUUUAAAGUCCAAGCAAUUGUUUUAUGUGUUCACUGAGUUGCCCACAAACUCUGCUCAUUCAUUUAUGAUUUCUGAUACAUGCCAUGCUGUCUCUGUCUCCCUGAUUCCAUUUCCCCAGAGAGACAGCUCACUGGGUC
rnacentral:lncRNA from 10 species